GAUGAAGAACGUAGCGAAAUGCGAUAAGUAAUGUGAAUUGCAGAAUUCAGUGAAUCAUCGAAUCUUUGAACGCACAUUGCGCCCGCCAGUAUUCUGGCGGGCAUGCCUGUUCGAGUGUCGCGAAAUUCUUCAAGCCUUGGAUGGAUUUUUUUUUGUCUGUCCUUGGGCUUGGUUGUUGGGCUCUGCCGUGUCCUUCAUUGGGACGGCUGGCCUUAAAAGCAUUAGCCGAUCCUCGUGUGGUACUGGUUCUACUCAGCGUGAUAACAAUCUGAUCGUUGAGGACAUCUUCUGGAUGGCCAGUCAUCAUUUGGGUUGCUUCUAAACCGGUUUCGCAGAUUGCUCAAUCUGUGUGCCACUUUUCAGCUUUGACCUCGAAUCAGGUGGGACUACCCGCUGAACUUAAGCAUAUCAAUAAGCGGAGGA
rnacentral:misc_RNA from 1 species